rnacentral:rRNA from 1 species
CAAUAGCGUAUAUUAAAGUUGUUGCAGUUAAAAAGCUCGUAGUUGGAUUUCUGGUGGGAGCGAUCGGUCUGGCGCUUAGCGCGAGUACUUGCAUCGUCUCCGGCCAUCCUUGGGGAGAGUCUGUCUGGCAUUAGGUUGUCGGGCAGAGGAUCCUCAUCGUUUACUGUGAAAAAAUUAGAGUGUUCAAAGCAGGCUUAUGCCGUUGAAUAUAUUAGCAUGGAAUAAUAAGAUAGGACUUUGGUACUAUUUUGUUGGUUUGCGCACCAAAGUAAUGAUUAAUAGGGACAGUUGGGGGUAUUCGUAUUCCGUUGUCAGAGGUGAAAUUCUUGGAUUUACGGAAGACGAACUACUGCGAAAGCAUUUACCAAGGAUGUUUUCAUUGA